rnacentral:lncRNA from 1 species
CUCAUUGAACCCCUGUAGAGAGGGCCAACAGACCUUUGUAUGAUGUUUAGAAGUGCAUUAAGAGCCCAGGCAGUUCUUUCCGUGGUACACAACAUUUCUCUCUUUUGAAAGACAUUUUCUCUCUCUCUUUUGUCCCCUCUUGGCUUUAACCUUCUGAAUGCAUUUUAACUCUAUUACACUGAAAGGACACCCACGAGGCUUCACAAAUACAUGCUGGUGACCCUUUGACACAGGAGGAAAGUUGGAACAUAUAACAUUCUUUUCAAAUGAAGAACUCCAGGAAGAAAGAGAAAGAAGAAAUGGUUGCUGGAAGAUUUUUCUUUUCAUUUGGUGGUGGUAGUAGUAAUAGCAAUAGCAAUAACAAUCAGUCUAGAAGAAAGUCCAUUCCUUUCCCUGCCACUUUGAUUAUUUUAAAUUACUUCCCAAAUACAGGUUCAACACCAGAAAGAAUCUGGUAUUCUGGAAUAAUUCUGCUCACAUUGAUAAUUAUAUAGUAUAUAGCAAGAUGGUAAGUCACCUUCAGGCAUUCAUAAGUCCUAUUCAUGGAGAUGGAAUAAGGUUAUGUGUGGCGAUCCCACCCUCUCUACUCUGAAGCUUCCUCUAUUGCGUG